rnacentral:rRNA from 1 species
GGGUGGAUUAGUGGCGAACGGGUGAGUAACACGUGGGUGAUCUGCCUCGUACUUCGGGAUAAGCCUGGGAAACUGGGUCUAAUACCGGAUAGGACCUUCCUUUAGUGUGGAAGGUGGAAAGUUUUUUCGGUACGAGAUGAGCCCGCGGCCUAUCAGCUUGUUGGUGGGGUAAUGGCCUACCAAGGCGACGACGGGUAGCCGGCCUGAGAGGGUGUACGGCCACAUUGGGACUGAGACACGGCCCAAACUCC